CAAGCUCUGAGACCAGAGCCGCAGCCGCUGCGCCUCCAGCUCCCUAGGCCCUGAGGAGAGCCUCCCAGACUCAGCUCCCUUGCGCGCCCACUCUUUAGCUUUUUUCCACAACUUUACAAAAGAAGACCUCCCUCCUUUGAUCUCGUCCCCCAUCUCCAUCCCCAUCCCCCUAUCCAGGAGGGCAAAGGCCAAGGAGCUGCAGGCUACAAUGGAGGAAAGCCAGGUGAUCUCCACAGUGAUGGCUUCUUCAGGGGAACCAGUGAUGCUACAUGUAUGGCCCAGUUUAGAAGGCAGAUCAUGAAGUCUUCCCCUUCUAGAAAUUAAGAACGGGGUGGAGACCCAGAUCCUUACAUAUCCAGCCCAGGUGGCAAUCAGAAAAGAAAGGGGUAUAACUCUUCACAUGGAAAAUGCAACAUGGACAGAAAAUGUCACGUGCAAGCCAUCCACACAGAACGCUCCACUGCAGAUGUUUUGGCCAGGGCCGGGCUUGAACCCGCCACCCCUGGUAUAUGGGUCUGGCGCCCUACUCCUGGAGCCACAGGUGCCACCCAACCAUCAUGAAAAUUCUUUGAGGGUAAGGAAGCGUCUCCUACCUGUCCUGUACCUGAAGCUUGGAUUCUAAGGAUGAACCAGUAAUAAAAAUUGCAGCCAAGCUCGGUGCCUGUAGCUCAAGCAGCUAAGGCGCCAACCACAUACAUCAGAGCUGGCGGGUUCGAAUCCAGCCCAGCCCCGAAACAAUGACAACUAUAACCAAAAAAUAGCCGGGCGUUGUGGCAGGCACCUGUAGUCCCAGCUACUUGGGAGGCUGAGGCAAGAGAAUUGCUUAAACCCAGAAAUUGGAGGUUGCUGUAAGCCAUGAUGCCACAGCACUCUACCCAGGGCAAGAGCUUGAGACUCUGUCUCAAAAAAUAAAUAAAUAAAAAUUGCAGCCAGGUGAGGUGGCGCAUGCCUGUAAUCCCAGCACUUGGGAGGCUGAGGCAGGUGGAUUGCCUGAGUUCAUAGGUUCUGUGGAUUGCCUGAGUUCACAGGUUUGAGAUCAGCCUAAGCCAGAGUGAGACCUCAUCUCUAAAAAAUAGCCGGGCAUUGUGGUGGGCGCCUAUAGUCCCAGCUACUUGGGAGGCUGAGGCAAGAGAAUCACUUAAGCAUAACAGUUUGAGGUUGCUGUGAGUUGUGAUGGCACAGCACUCUACCAAGGGCAACCCAGUGAGACUCUGUCUCAAAAAAAGAAAAAAAGAAAAGAAAAGAAAAAAAGCAGCCAGCAUCUUUCUGACCACUUACUAUAUGUCAGGCACUGUACUAACUGCUUUCUGUGCUUGUGCUUAUUUAAUCCUCAGACUCAGAAACCAGCUCAAGGUUACAAGGUAGCAAAAUCAGGAUUUUAAUUCAUGCCUUGUUUGAGGCAUUUUUCAUGACUGCCAUUUACCUGCUAAUGUCCAUCAUUGAUUAAACAUCCAGUGAUUAGAAAUGGCCACAUGGGGGUGGUGCCUGUGGCUCAGUCGGUAAGGUGCCGGCCCUAUA